AUAGUAAUCAGAAGAAAAGGUGUCACGAAUUUGACUUAAUAGGGAAUCCGGAAAAAGCCGGAGCUGUCCCCGCAACUGUUUUGUGGACGAAAUGAGAAACCACUGUACGUAAUUCGUACGGGAAGGCUCAGAGUAGGAUGAAGCAUAAGCCAGUAGACCUGCCUUUUCUUCUGUGUUUUG
rnacentral:ncRNA from 2 species